CCCACAGCUCCGUUGCAUGUACAGGCAUCGCGUGUGGAAGGUCAGCAUCGUCGCAGGAGCUUGAAGUCGUCUCCUCUGUUCGAGAGCGCUCUCUAUGUGUUCACCGUGCCUUCGUCACCGUCACUGUAACCGUCACUGUCAAGAACUUCUCCGUGCUUCCCUCGCCACCUGACAUCUCUGUUCGUUUUGUCUUCAUCCGUUAGUCGGAACCUUCCCUCGCCGCCGACAUCUUUGUUCAUUCUGUUCGUGCUUCAGCCUUGGCUGUUUGUAUGAGUAUGCUAACAACAGAAAUCCUCUCGAAGUAAGCUGUUGAUUUUCUGUCAUAUUAAGUGUGCUUAGGAAACAGUUCCAAUUAGAGAUUUUGGACCAUGGAGUACUAACUUUGUUGAAGAAUUAGCUUGAGCCACUUUUUGAUGGAAGCUUGUCAAAUAUUAACAUUCGCAC